GACGAACGCUGGCGGCGUGCCUAAUACAUGCAAGUCGAGCGAGCGGAACUAACAGAUUUACUUCGGUAAUGACGUUAGGAAAGCGAGCGGCGGAUGGGUGAGUAACACGUGGGGAACCUGCCCCAUAGUCUGGGAUACCACUUGGAAACAGGUGCUAAUACCGGAUAAGAAAGCAGAUCGCAUGAUCAGCUUUUAAAAGGCGGCGUAAGCUGUCGCUAUGGGAUGGCCCCGCGGUGCAUUAGCUAGUUGGUAAGGUAAAGGCUUACCAAGGCGAUGAUGCAUAGCCGAGUUGAGAGACUGAUCGGCCACAUUGGGACUGAGACACGGCCCAAACUCCUACGGGAGGCAGCAGUAGGGAAUCUUCCACAGUGGACGCAAGUCUGAUGGAGCAACGCCGCGUGAGUGAAGAAGGUUUUCGGAUCGUAAAGCUCUGUUGUUGGUGAAGAAGGAUAGAGGUAGUAACUGGCCUUUAUUUGACGGUAAUCAACCAGAAAGUCACGGCUAACUACGUGCCAGCAGCCGCGGUAAUACGCAGGUGGCAAGCGUUGUCCGGAUUUAUUGGGCGUAAAGCGAGCGCAGGCGGAAGAAUAAGUCUGAUGUGAAAGCCCUCGGCUUAACCGAGGAACUGCAUCGGAAACUGUUUUUCUUGAGUGCAGAAGAGGAGAGUGGAACUCCAUGUGUAGCGGUGGAAUGCGUAGAUAUAUGGAAGAACACCAGUGGCGAAGGCGGCUCUCUGGUCUGCAACUGACGCUGAGGCUCGAAAGCAUGGGUAGCGAACAGGAUUAGAUACCCUGGUAGUCCAUGCCGUAAACGAUGAGUGCUAAGUGUUGGGAGGUUUCCGCCUCUCAGUGCUGCAGCUAACGCAUUAAGCACUCCGCCUGGGGAGUACGACCGCAAGGUUGAAACUCAAAGGAAUUGACGGGGGCCCGCACAAGCGGUGGAGCAUGUGGUUUAAUUCGAAGCAACGCGAAGAACCUUACCAGGUCUUGACAUCUAGUGCCAUUUGUAGAGAUACAAAGUUCCCUUCGGGGACGCUAAGACAGGUGGUGCAUGGCUGUCGUCAGCUCGUGUCGUGAGAUGUUGGGUUAAGUCCCGCAACGAGCGCAACCCUUGUUAUUAGUUGCCAGCAUUAAGUUGGGCACUCUAAUGAGACUGCCGGUGACAAACCGGAGGAAGGUGGGGAUGACGUCAAGUCAUCAUGCCCCUUAUGACCUGGGCUACACACGUGCUACAAUGGGCAGUACAACGAGAAGCGAGCCUGCGAAGGCAAGCGAAUCUCUGAAAGCUGUUUUCAGUUCGGACUGCAGUCUGCAACUCGACCGCACGAAGCUGGAAUCGCUAGUAAUCGCGGAUCAGCACGCCGCGGUGAAUACGUUCCCGGGCCU
rnacentral:rRNA from 1 species